rfam:Dipodomys ordii contig_46163, whole genome shotgun sequence.
GGUGGCUCAGUGGUAGAGCGCUUGCCUCGCAUGCACAAGGCCCUGGGUUCGAUUCCUCAGCACCA